rnacentral:misc_RNA from 1 species
AAAGUCGUAACAAGGUAUCCGUAGGUGAACCUGCGGAUGGAUCAUUAACGUAUCUAUCCCCAUUUUCCCGUUUCCUUGCGCUCUCUCAAGGAGCAAAAGGGCCGGGAAAAUACCAACCCCUUGUGAACCUUUUUAAUCGUCUCUGGCAGGGGAGGCCUCCCUUUUUGGGAGGUGCUCCUGCCGAAAGGGCUUUCCUUUCCCGGGACUUUUUCUGUCCUGGAAAAGGUUAGUUCUUUAAAUGAACCACUUUAAAAUCUUUGUCGAGAAGUCUAAAACGAAUUGUUGUCUUUUUAAUACAAAAAACAACUUUCGGCAACGGAUCUCUUGGCUCUC